GGUUGUGGCUCAGUGGUAGAGUGCUUGCCUGGCUUGUACGAGGUGCUGGGUUCGAUCUUCAGCACCA
rnacentral:tRNA from 1 species